CGGCUGUGGUUGUCCCGUAUAGCAAUGAGCCAAUGAGGCGUGUGGCAUAUCUCAGUACUGGGCUCCAGAUAAGUGACUCAUUUGCCUGAGAAGAUCUAUAAACCCAUGUGCCAAUCGUUUCCCAGAAGUUCAACAGCUCUGAAGUCCAAUAAAGACCAGAUGUCCUCUCCCCUGCACUCAAUCCAAAUAGUCCACAGAGGUUUG
rnacentral:lncRNA from 1 species